rnacentral:rRNA from 1 species
AUUGAACGCUGGCGGCAGGCCUAACACAUGCAAGUCGAGCGGAUGAAGGGAGCUUGCUCCUGGAUUCAGCGGCGGACGGGUGAGUAAUGCCUAGGAAUCUGCCUGGUAGCGGGGGAUAACGUCCGGAAACGGGCGCUAAUACCGCAUACGGCCUGAGGGAGAAAGUGGGGGAUCUUCGGACCUCACGCUAUCAGAUGAGCCUAGGUCGGAUUAGCUAGUUGGUGGGGUAAAGGCCUACCAAGGCGACGAUCCGUAACUGGUCUGAGAGGAUGAUCAGUCACACUGGAACUGAGACACGGUCCAGGCUCCUACGUGCGGCAGCAGUGGGGAAUAUUGGACACUGGGCGAAAGCCUGAUCCAGCCAUGCCGCGUGUGUGAAGAAGGUCUUCGGAUUGUAAAGCACUUUAAGUUGGGAGGAAGGGCAGUAAGUUAAUACCUUGCUGUUUUGACGUUACCAACAGAAUAAGCACCGGCUAACUUCGUG